CCUACGGGUGGCUGCAGUGGGGAAUAUUGGACAAUGGGGGGAACCCUGAUCCAGCGACGCCGCGUGAGUGAAGAAGUAUUUCGGUAUGUAAAGCUCUAUCAGCAGGGAAGAAAAUGACGGUACCUGACUAAGAAGCCCCGGCUAACUACGUGCCAGCAGCCGCGGUAAUACGUAGGGGGCAAGCGUUAUCCGGAUUUACUGGGUGUAAAGGGAGCGUAGACGGUGCAGCAAGUCUGAUGUGAAAGGUCGGGGCUCAACCCCGGGACUGCAAUGGAUACUGGUGAACUGGAGUACAGGAGAGGUAAGCGGAAGUCGUGGUGUAGCGGUGAAAUGCGUAGAUAUUAGGAAGAACACCAAUGGCGAAGGCGGCUUACUAGACUGUAACUGACAUUGAGGCUCGAAAGCGUGGGGAGCAAACAGGAUUAGAUACCCCUGUAGUC
rnacentral:rRNA from 1 species